rnacentral:tRNA from 3 species
CGGAACGUAGCACAGCCUGGUAGUGCGCCUGCUUUGGGAGCAGGAAGUCGGAGGUUCGAAUCCUCUCGUUCCGACCA